rnacentral:rRNA from 1 species
AUUGAACGCUGGCGGCAGGCUUAACACAUGCAAGUCGAGCGAUGAAGUUCCUUCGGGAACGGAUUAGCGGCGGACGGGUGAGUAACACGUGGGUAACCUGCCUCAUAGAGGGGAAUAACCUUCCGAAAGGAAGAUUAAUACCGCAUAAGAUUGUAAUGCCGCAUGGCAUAGCAAUUAAAGGAGCAAUCCGCUAUGAGAUGGACCCGCGUCGCAUUAGCUAGUUGGUGAGGUAACGGCUCACCAAGGCGACGAUGCGUAGCCGACCUGAGAGGGUGAUCGGCCACAUUGGGACUGAGACGCGGCCCAGACUCCUACGGGAGGCAGCAGUGGGGAAUAUUGCACAAUGGGGGAAACCCUGAUGCAGCAACGCCGCGUGAGUGAUGACGGUCUUCGGAUUGUAAAGCUCUGUCUUCAGGGACGAUAAUGACGGUACCUGAGGAGGAAGCCACGGCUAACUACGUGCCAGCCGCCGCGGUAA